rnacentral:rRNA from 1 species
UUGCGGUUAAAAAGCCCGUAGUUGGAUUUCUGUUGAGGAUGACCGGUCCGCUCUUUGAGCGCGUAUCUGGUUCAGCCUUGGCAUCCUCUUGGGGAACGCUACUGUGCUUGAUUGCAUGGGGCGGUAUUCAAGACUUUUACUUUGAGGAAAUUAGAGUGUUCACUGCAAGCGUUAGCAAUUGAAUACAUUAGCAUGGAAUAAUAAUAUAGGACCUUGGUACUAUUUUGUUGGUUUCUAGAACUAAGGUAAUGAUUAAUAGGGACAAUUGGGGGCAUUCGUAUUAACGCGUCAGAGGUGGAAUUCUUAGAUUGCGUUACGACGAACUACUGCGAAAGCAUUUGCCAAGGACGUUUUCAUUGAUCAAGAACGAAAGUAUGGGGAUCGAAGACGCUUAGAUACCGUCGUAGUCUAUACCAUAAACUAUGCCAACUAGAGAUUGGAGGUCGUUCUCUUUAUGACUCCUUCAGCACCUUAUGAGAAAUCAAAGUCUUUGGGUUCCGGGGGGAGUAUGGUCGCAAGGCUGAAACUUAAAGGAAUUGACGGAAGGGCACCACCAGGAGUGGAGCCUGCGGCUUAAAUUUGACUCAACACGGGAAAACUUACCAGGUCCAGACAUAGUAAGGAUUGACAGAUUGAUAGCUCUUUCUUGAUUCUAUGGGUGGUG